rnacentral:rRNA from 1 species
CCUACGGGUGGCUGCAGUGGGGAAUAUUGGGCAAUGGGCGCAAGCCUGACCCAGCAACGCCGCGUGAAGGAAGAAGGCUUUCGGGUUGUAAACUUCUUUUCUCAGGGACGAAGCAAGUGACGGUACCUGAGGAAUAAGCCACGGCUAACUACGUGCCAGCAGCCGCGGUAAUACGUAGGUGGCAAGCGUUAUCCGGAUUUACUGGGUGUAAAGGGCGUGUAGGCGGGACUGCAAGUCAGAUGUGAAAACCAUGGGCUCGACCUAUGGCCUGCAUUUGAAACUGUAGUUCUUGAGUACUGGAGAGGCAGACGGAAUUCCUAGUGUAGCGGUGAAAUGCGUAGAUAUUAGGAGGAACACCAGUGGCGAAGGCGGCCGCCUGGCCUGUUGCUGACGCUGAGGCACGAAAGCGUGGGGAGCAAAUAGGAUUAGAUACCCCAGUAGUC